UACGAAGGGGGCUAGCGUUGCUCGGAAUUACUGGGCGUAAAGGGCGCGUAGGCGGCACUGUUAGUCAGGCGUGAAAGUCCUGGGCUCAACCUGGGAACUGCGCUUGAUACGGCAGAGCUAGAGGAUGGAAGAGGCUCGCGGAAUUCCCAGUGUAGAGGUGAAAUUCGUAGAUAUUGGGAAGAACACCGGUGGCGAAAGCGGCGUGCUGGACCUUUUCUGACGCUGAGGCGCGAAAGCUAGGGGAGCAAACGGG
rnacentral:rRNA from 1 species